rnacentral:pre_miRNA from 1 species
AGCCCUCUGUAUCCGUGCUGAGAUUUCGUCGGACAUCAACCUGUUGGGGCUGAUGAUACUUCCCAAAUAAGUGAAGCG